rnacentral:rRNA from 1 species
UGGGGAAUUUUGGACAAUGGGCGCAAGCCUGAUCCAGCAAUGCCGCGUGCAGGAUGAAGGCCUUCGGGUUGUAAACUGCUUUUGUACGGAGCGAAAAGGUCUGCCCUAAUACGGUGGGCUCAUGACGGUACCGUAAGAAUAAGCACCGGCUAACUACGUGCCAGCAGCCGCGGUAAUACGUAGGGUGCGAGCGCUAAUCGGAAUUACUGGGCGUAAAGCGUGCGCAGGCGGUUAUGCAAGACAGAGGUGAAAUCCCCGGGCUCAACCUGGGAACUGCCUUUGUGACUGCAUAGCUAGAGUACGGUAGAGAGGGAUGGAAUUCCGCGUGUAGCAGUGAGAUGCGUAGAUAUGCGGAGGAACACCGAUGGCGAAGGCGAUCCCCUGGACCUGUACUGACGCUCAUGCACGAAAGCGUGGGGAGCGGACA